rnacentral:rRNA from 1 species
CCUACGGGAGGCAGCAGUGGGGAAUCUUGCGCAAUGGGCGAAAGCCUGACGCAGCCAUGCCGCGUGAAUGAUGAAGGUCUUAGGAUUGUAAAAUUCUUUCACCGGGGACGAUAAUGACGGUACCCGGAGAAGAAGCCCCGGCUAACUUCGUGCCAGCAGCCGCGGUAAUACGAAGGGGGCUAGCGUUGCUCGGAAUUACUGGGCGUAAAGGGAGCGUAGGCGGAUAGUUUAGUCAGAGGUGAAAGCCCAGGGCUCAACCUUGGAAUUGCCUUUGAUACUGGCUAUCUUGAGUUUGGGAGAGGUGAGUGGAACUCCGAGUGUAGAGGUGAAAUUCGUAGAUAUUCGGAAGAACACCAGUGGCGAAGGCGACUCACUGGCCCAAUACUGACGCUGAGGCUCGAAAGCGUGGGGAGCAAACAGGAUUAGAUACCCUGGUAGUCCACGCCGUAAACGAUGAGUGCUAGUUGUCGGCAUGCAUGCAUGUCGGUGACGCAGCUACGACAUUAAGACACUCCGCCGUCGGGGAGGUACGGUCGGCGAAGAAUUAAAACUUAAAAGUAAGUAGUAGACGCGAGAGACGCGACGACGACGACGACGGAGGAGGAG